UCUAAAUAAUUUCCUUCUUUUCUUUCUUUCUCUGUCGUUUUCUUCUUUCUUAAAGCUAUGACCCAUUUCCUCUCUUUCUUCCUUCACAAUUGCUUUUUCUUCUUCUUCUUCUUGAUAUGUUGCAGCUUGCAAUAUUUUUUUUCCUUAUUUUAAAAAGGAAGCCUACACAAACUAGAUUCUUGAUUUCUAAGAUGUUAGAGCAUGACCAUCACGACUCCUGUGAAGAGGAGGAAGGGCAGGAGAAUCUUACAGUGUUGAGAAUGAGGGUAGCGGACGAGGAAUCGAGUAGUAUUACAACAAUGUAAGUGGGUCUGGGUUGAGACCUUUGCCACCGAGCAUACCGAAAUUUUUACUGGGACGUGGGUUCGAAAGGAGAGAGGUUUGACCUCUCCAUGUAAAAGAGAUAAUAUAAGGGAGUGAUUUUUUUUAUUUAUUUAUUUUAUUUAAGAUGUCAUAUGGAUUAGUCAUGUCAGCACAUAGCGGAAGCUAUUGCAGAAAAUUAGACAAAGUGAUUUCAUUGUUGAAUAAAUUAAAAUUUAAUUA